GACGUAGGGCGCGAGCGUUGUCCGGAUUUAUUGGGCGUAAAGAGCUCGUAGGUGGUUUGUCGCGUUGUCCGUGAAAACUCACAGCUCAACUGUGGGCGUGCGGGCGAUACGGGCAGACUGGAGUACUGCAGGGGAGACUGGAAUUCCUGGUGUAGCGGUGGAAUGCGCAGAGUAUCAGGAGGAACACCGGUGGCGAAGGCGGGUCUCUGGGCAGUAACUGACGCUGGAGGAGCGAAAGCGUGGGGAGCGAACAGG
rnacentral:rRNA from 1 species